AUGAAAAAGCCUUUGUGUAUGGAAUUACUCCCAAAUGUAAUUCAUAGAACAAUGUGUGCUAUUGAAAUGUAUUUAAAAAGAAAAAAAAAAAGGAAAGGAAAAGAGGAAAUAAAUGAGUUGUUCAAAGGGUUCUUUUGUAUCAGACUCGUGCUUUCAGGAGUCGUUCCCAGCUUCCAAAAUGCACGGGGAGAGGAGAGAGGGAGGAAGGAAGAAAAGAGACCAUUUCCCACGAGGCAGACCACCAGCUCCACAGGUGACAGCAGUGCUGAGGCUCCCAAGCGCCUGCCCUGCAGCAGCCCAGAGGAAAAGCAUGAAGGAAGCAACCUUCCUUGCCAAGGUUCAUAGACAGAAGCUUUCUGGAAAGCUAGAAAUUCAACAGUAUAACUUUUCAUUUGAUUUUAAGGUAACCACAUGAAAUCUUUAGGUCUGGAUGAUUUAAAGUGAUAUCUACUUCAAAUCCCAUUGUGAUAGACCAGCUAAGUUCCAAACACAGGUUGCUGAUUAUUACUGACAUACAGUUUAAAACAGUAAGAGGAAAUUCAGACCCAGAGAGAAUUUCAGAGCCAGAAAUCACUAUUGUGAUAAUUUUGCUUGAAUUUCACGCAGCACCACUCACAGUUUGCCUGGUGUUAGCUUGUGGUUGAACCAGGGAAGGACAGUUGGCUUGGAUGAAGUCCUUGGCAUUGCUUUUAAAGCCGACAUUAAAAGAACAUGACAGCUUUGCAAUGUGGUGAGCACUCAGCCCAUAGCAAAGACUGGACUGACACCAUUAAAUAUGAUACAUUCGAAAUUUUAAAAAUCUGUUUCACCUGGAAGUACUGAGUGGCCUCAGCAGAACCCGUAGACAUUAAUUCUGUCUGUGGUCUGCGUUCUCCUCUGCAGUUAUGCUGAGGGCUGGCUGUAGAAAUACUAAUUUUCUGGUGUUUUACUGGCAGACUGUCAGAAAGACAUUGCAAAUGUUUCUCUCUUCUGGUUCCUAUCUCCAAAAACGCCUCUAUACAUAGGGGCUUUUUCUUGCAAGACCUGUUGCCUGUUGAAAGCAGCGCCAUCUGGCUUUGUUUUCCUUUUUUUCACCAAAUAUUUGAUGCACUGUGUAAAACUAAUUCCAGCAUAACCAGUUUAUUAACACUGUUGCCAUGUUUUCACUUCACUAGAUGCUUAUACUUGCCAUUAUUUCUCAUUGUUGGCUUUUCUACUUUUACUUGCUGAGUGACUCUUGGGUUUUUAUUAAAAAUUGAUGAUUGCACUAGUUGUGAAUAAUUUUCUUUGACUUAGAGAAUAGUGAUCUGGAAUUAAUAGUACAUAAAAUAAAUACAAAAGGUAUCAAGAAUACAAUAAGGUAAGUUAUAUAGCCUGUGGAUAUAUAAAUAUCUUUGUAUUUACAGGGUAUUUGCUGUAAUUAAUUCCUAUCUGUUUUCAUAGAAGCUUUGUAGAAACUUACAUGGAAUGUAAGUUUAGGAUAACUGCCCCAUUAAGAUGCAUAUUUUACAUUUUUAACUUUGCUGUGACAGUUUCUGCCAUUGCCAAGCUGUGCUGCUAACAUCUCUGUUUAAUGCUCUCAUUACUCACGUAAAGGAGUUGAAGAUCAGUCCAGUGUUACUGAAAUACUGAGGUGUGGAGGAAAUUGCCCACAGAUAAAUGGGGUUUAGAUCUGUAAAUAUGGUUUUUAAACCCCCUGUCUAGUAGGAGAUUAAAAUCCAUAGUUGUGCUUCUACCUAAAGAAAUCCUUUCACUAAGCAUCCUGCUGCUGCAUCUGCCUGGAAGCUGAACCCUGGUUAACUCACCUCCCUGAGAGUCUGAGGAUGGAGCUGUUCCCCAUCCACCUCAGGGAUGUCCAGGUUGUAUUGGUGAAACUGAGGUCCCUCUGGUCUACAGGGUGAAGAUGCAACUUUACAUUAAAUCACAGGCCUUAGAGGGAAGUUGGUAGUUCUAGAUAAAAAUUUGGGGUGAUGCCCAGACGUGCAAGAAAUUUAGGGUCUCAGCCUGGCAUGGAGCUGCUCAGUGGUGCUUGGGGGAGCAUAGGAAAAGCCAACCCAAAUUCACUCUUGCUGAUCCAGCAAAUAUUUUCAGAGGAAGUGACAUGACUGCAGUGUGAGAGGCAGAGCACCCUGACCCUGACAGUGACAAAGCCAUGGCUGGGGUGUCUGGGGCACAGGUCUGAACCCCUGCUGCUGGGAAGGGAGUUAGCAGAGUGCUCUGACAGCUACACUGCUGCACUUUAUUAGGCAAAACACACUCUUUUGUUUCAGAAAAGGAUUUCACCCAUCUGCUGGAGGGGCAAAGUCAUUCUAAGCUGUGGGUCUUCAUUGAAGGUGGGUGAUUGAAAUGUCUGAGGAUAGGAGGAGGAAAAGUUUCUGCCUCAAAACAUUGGCAAGCCAGGCAUGCUAAAGAGAGUAAGCCUCAAAGGGAAAUCCAACAGUGCUGGCUGUGUCCAGUCCCAUUGUGAUAGAGCAAGGGUGCAGUCACAGAAUCCCCAGAUUCGCUUCAGUAUCAUCUGCUUCAGGACAAAGCACUGCUAAAUGCAGCUUCAGUUCUGGGUCUGGCUCCUAAGGGAGCUUGCAGUGACUAAACACAAGCUGCACCCUGUGCUUGGAGCAGGCUCCAGGCGUCUGCAUCUGCACACGGGUGCUUUACUCACUGCCAGCCUCCACAGGCCCAGGGAGGGCUGGCCUCAAGGUAUGGAUGCAGGCAGAAUUUAAUACCUUGGAGUAGAGCUGUCUCUGCUGUCGGGCUGUAGAGAAUCACUGCAGCGCAGUGGCUGCCAGGAGGGCAAACUGUGAGGCCCUAAAUCACAGUGAUGGAUUGUGAAAGGGCUAUAAUUCAAGGGGAAGUCAUUAGUCCCUUCUGAGGAUUUCCUUCUUGAGCACCAUCAAAGCAUUUUUCUGACUUCCUAAGUAGGCAGGAGCAUUGAGAUAUGAAUUUAUCCUUCUCUCUGCCAUUGCUUUUCUGCAGGAUUAAUAUACAAACCAGAGGUAAUCAAUGACAGAG
rnacentral:lncRNA from 1 species